ACUAAAUCAGUUCUCACAAGUGAAAAAUAGAGAUCAUUUUGUUUUGGCAUCAGUGGCGGUGACAGAGAGAGGAGCACAGCAUGGGAACCCCAUGAAAAGCAUGGCAAGGCUGUUCUGGAAUCAAGGAAUAAAAGGCACCAGUGCCAGUUGCCACCUUCCAGUCGCUGGAAUGGGAUGAUCUGGGUAGUUGGGUAGACUUGGAGUUCCAGUUCUAACUUGGAAUUCCUGAACCUACUGCCUCUAUGGUGCUGUUCUACACCCAGCCACUAAUCUGUCCCCUGAGCAGUUACAGGCUUCCUUUCUCCUUUACUUUAAGCUUUCCUCCAGAAGCAGAUGACAAAAUGCAGCACGAAGGCACUGCAGGAUCCUGCUCCCAUGGGUCUGGUGGGCCUCCUAAUGAGCAAGGAAAAUUGCUGAGAAUGAGAUUUUGGUAGCUAAGCCUGUCUUAGUGCUGCCAUCCUACAGUCUCUGUGCCAAUACCCUUGUGAGGAUAAGCCAAACCCUGUCACUCACUGAAAGGACUGAACAGCUCAAUAACAGCUUUUACUUAAACUCCAAUACAUGGAAAAAAAUGUGCAUAGAAGAUUCCAAAAAGGUGAGACCAGAGGAGGCACUCCUUGCAUCCAAGCUCAGCAACAAUCCUCUCAGAAACACACUCAAACUGCUCAACAAACUGAUCAAGGAAAGAGCUUUGACAUCAAUGGAGCUUAAGGGCAUGGGCUGAAACUGAGCUCCAAAUGCUCAUCUCUGAAUUGAGGAUGAUGGGGUAGUUUAGGAAGCAAUAUGAGCUUGAAAAUGAUACACGAUAUGAUAUAGACUUAACCUAAGAAAACCAGAAGAGCAGCAGAACUCCCACUGUAUACAAAUUACUGGCACUAUAUAUGCCAAAGUAUGACCUCCAGCUAGGAUAUAAUAACCAGCUUUCAUGAACAGCACUCAUUAUAUUGUGUCCAUUAUAAAACUGCAGCUACAUGACAGUGCCAUAGGCUAUAAUGUUCUCACUUAGAAGAAUUUCAAUUUUCUUCCAAGAGACAAUGUCUUCCUUUUUCAGGCCUAUUUUGUUCAUCCUGGACUCAUUUUUAUUUUAUAGGGUGGGAUGUGGGGUAUAUUUUUGUGGGGUUUUUUUUUUUCCUAAAGCAACAAAGGAACUGCACUCAAAAAAUCUGUCUUGAUUUGGGAGGCAUAGCAAAGCAAGGAUUCAACCAGUGUAAAUCAGAAUGAUGAACCCCAGAUGAGGACUUUUUCCAGACAACUAUAAAUCUGAUAGAUCAAAGUGUUUGUCAAUGACCAAAAAUAUCUCACAGAACUGGCCUGGCUGGCCCUCUGUUGACACAACAGAAAGAUAUUGCUAAAUCAGCAAGAAACCUUGGAUUUGUUGUGUGAUGACUUAAAAGAGGUUUUCUCAGUUAUUCUCUCAGCUUUUCUUCCUGAGUAAUGAGUGUGAGAUAACUCAAGGAGAACAAGUAUCUGGCUAAGGAGAGGGGGAAACACCUGUGGGAUUUUGGAUAAAAUACUGAAUGGCACAGGCAGAGCCAGGCAGUCUGGAAGAAUUUAUCAGCUGUGAGCUACUGCACUUCAUCUGCUCCAACACAGCCAGGAAGCCACAAAGAUACCUCCACAUGCUGCUAGGCCUGUCUUAAGAGAACCUACAGACCUCUACCAUAUAGAAAGCUACACCUGACAAAGUCUUCCUCAGCACCCUUCAUUCAGUGGUGUGGAGAGGGAGAUCAGGGAGAGCAGGAUGCCACUCAUCUAAUCCUGCAAUACCUAAAAACAGCUGGGAAGAACAGCUUCUCCCCACUGAAAGGAGCAAACUCCAACAGUUUUGGUGUUUUCAUAAAGGCCUGAGACCUGACAGUCACUGCUCCUAAAGAGAUGCCAGUCUGGGGGAGUUCAUGGGCUGUGUUUUCCCAGAGGUGUGGGGAGAUGCCUGGGGAAGCCUGGCCCCAGAGGGACAGGACAAGCAGGUUUCCACUCCAGGUGCAGGAGCUGUUAUCUCUUGGCCCAGGCAGAUACAAUUAGUCUGUGAUACAUCUUGCACUGAAGGCGAAGAGCCCUCCUGAGGACUCUCUCUAGGAUAAUAAAGCUUUCCACACAGCCA
rnacentral:lncRNA from 1 species